CUCUAAUAUCAAUCUAGAUUAUUUAUUUUAUGGAAUAAAUACAAUGAAAUAUUAGAUAUUAAAGAGGUUUAUUCCUUCCUAAUUUAGGUAAAAAUGUAUCAGCAAAUUAUGUAUUAGUAGUUAUUAUGAAAAUAUGUAAUUUAGC
rnacentral:ncRNA from 12 species